UUGGAGGGCAAGUCUGGUGCCAGCAGCCGCGGUAAUUCCAGCUCCGAUAGCGUAUAUUAAAGUUGUUGCAGUUAAAAGCUCGUAGUUGAAUUUCGGGAUCGAUGGGUCGGUCAUGCCCUCGGUAUGUACUGAUCCCAUUGGUCCUCACCUUCUAAGGAACCAUGAUGUCAUUCGGUUGAUGUUGUGGGGAAUUAGGACUGUUACCUUGAAAAAUUGAGUGUUUAAAGCAGGCCAACGCUUGAAUACAUUAGCAUGGAAUAAUGAAAUAGGACAUCCGAUUCUAUUUUGUUGGUUUCUAGGAUCGAUGUAAUGAUUAAUAGGGAUAGUUGGGGGCAUUAGUAUUCAAUUGUCAGAGGUGAAAUUCUUGGAUUUAUUGAAGACUAACUACUGCGAAGGCAUUUGCCAAGGAUGUUUUCAUUAAUCAAGAACGAAAGUUAGGGGAUCGAAGACGAUCAGAUACCGUCGUAGUCUUAACCAUAAACUAUGCCGACUAGGGAUCGGAUGAUGCUUAUUUUAAUG
rnacentral:rRNA from 1 species